rnacentral:rRNA from 1 species
UACGAGGGGGGCAAAUGUUGUUCGGAAUCACUGGGCGUAAAGCGCACGUAGGCGGUUUGUUAAGUCAGGGGUGAAAUCCCGGAGCUCAACUCCGGAACUGCCUUUGAUACUGGCAAGCUAGAAUCCGGGAGAGGUGAGUGGAAUUCCGAGUGUAGAGGUGAAAUUCGUAGAUAUUCGGAAGAACACCAGUGGCGAAGGCGGCUCACUGGACCGGUAUUGGACGCUGAGGCGCGAAAGCGUGGGUAGCAAACAGG